AGUGCUGGAUUGGUUCCAAGUAAAAGGAUGGCGUAUGUAUCUAGCUCACUUUCUCUGAUAAACAGUACCUUUUACUGGAUAUUCUCCAAGUGUGGCAAAGUUUUAAAGGUUACUGUUAUGAAAGAAAAAGAAGAGGCCAGGUGUGGUGGCUCACACCUGUAAUCCCAACACUUUGUGGGGCUGAGGCGGGUGGAUUACUUGAGGUCAGGAAUUCAAGAUCAGCCUGACCAAUAUGGUGAAACCCUGUCUCUACUAAAAAAUACAAAAAAUUAGCUGGACAUGGUUGUGUGCACCUGUAGUCCCAGCUACUCAGGAAGCUGAGGCAAGAGAAUAGCUUGAACUCGAGAUUAUGCCACCGUACUCCAGCCUAGGUGACAGAGCAAGACUCAAUCUCAAAAAAAAAAAGGAAGAAUGGGGUCUGAGAGUUGGAUUUAUUUUCUUUUUGGAUAGGACUCUGCAUAAAACUAGACCAGGCCAUUAAACAGCCAACAGUUAUUUGGUCCAGUAACAAAAGCAAGCAUUGCUAUUGACAGCUAAAGAGCAGCUAAAUUCAUCUGAAGGUAAAACUCCUUGGAUGAAUUUGGGUCUAAUGAAUGUAGGGAAAAUAGACACUUAGUUUCUACCUAUCUUGAAAAUAUGCAUGGAGAAUCUGAACCACCACACAGGAAGAGAAAAAGAGAAGAGAGACAAUCCCC
rnacentral:lncRNA from 1 species